rnacentral:rRNA from 1 species
UACGUAGGGUGCAAGCGUUAAUCGGAAUUACUGGGCGUAAAGCGUGCGCAGGCGGUUUUGUAAGUUUGUCGUGAAAUCCCCCGGGCUCAACCUGGGGAAUGGCGAUGAAGACUGCAAGGCUAGAAUCUGGCAGAGGGGGGUAGAAUUCCACGUGUAGCAGUGAAAUGCGUAGAGAUGUGGAGGAACACCGAUGGCGAAGGCAGCCCCCUGGGUCAAGAUUGACGCUCAUGCACGAA